rnacentral:pre_miRNA from 14 species
UUCAUUCUUUUUUCUGGAUCAAGAAGUGAAAGAACAAAUGAAAGAACCCCAUGGGGAGACUCUUGCUCCAGUCUCAAAAUGGCGUGCCCCAGGAAACUCGAGAAGCC